rnacentral:rRNA from 1 species
AAUAUUGCACAAUGGGCGCAAGCCUGAUGCAGCCAUGCCGCGUGUGUGAAGAAGGCCUUCGGGUUGUAAAGCACUUUCAGUCGUGAGGAAGGUAGUGUAGUUAAUAGCUGCAUUAUUGACGUUAGCGACAGAAGAAGCACCGGCUAACUCCGUGCCAGCAGCCGCGGUAAUACGGAGGGUGCGAGCGUUAAUCGGAAUUACUGGGCGUAAAGCGCAUGCAGGUGGUUUGUUAAGUCAGAUGUGAAAGCCCGGGGCUCAACCUCGGAAUAGCAUUUGAAACUGGCAGACUAGAGUACUGUAGAGGGGGUAGAAUUUCAGGUGUAGCGGUGAAAUGCGUAGAGAUCUGAAGGAAUACCGGUGGCGAAGGCGGCCCCCUGGACAGAUACUGACACUCAGAUGCGAAAGCGUGGGGAGCAAACAGGAUUAGAUACCCUGGUAG